rnacentral:rRNA from 1 species
UACGUAGGGUGCAAGCGUUGUCCGGAAUUAUUGGGCGUAAAGAGCGUGUAGGCGGCUCGAUUAGUCCGCUGUGAAAGUCCAGGGCUCAACCCUGGAAUGCCGGUGGAUACUGUCGAGCUAGAGUCCGGAAGGGGCGAGUGGAAUUCCUGGUGUAGCGGUGAAAUGCGCAGAUAUCGGGAAGAACACCCGUGGCGAAGGCGGUUCUCUGGGACGGUACUGACGCUGAGACGCGAAAGCGUGGGGAGCGAACAGG